AGUGAACGCUGGCGGCAGGCCUAACACAUGCAAGUCGAACGGCAGCACAGGAGAGCUUGCCCUCUGGGUGGCGAGUGGCGGACGGGUGAGGAAUACAUCGGAAUCUACUCUGUCGUGGGGGAUAACGUAGGGAAACUUACGCUAAUACCGCAUACGACCUACGGGUGAAAGCAGGGGAUCUUCGGACCUUGCGCGAUUGAAUGAGCCGAUGUCGGAUUAGCUAGUUGGCGGGGUAAAGGCCCACCAAGGCGACGAUCCGUAGCUGGUCUGAGAGGAUGAUCAGCCACACUGGAACUGAGACACGGUCCAGACUCCUACGGGAGGCAGCAGUGGGGAAUAUUGGACAAUGGGCGCAAGCCUGAUCCAGCCAUACCGCGUGGGUGAAGAAGGCCUUCGGGUUGUAAAGCCCUUUUGUUGGGAAAGAAAUCCAGCUGGCUAAUACCCGGUUGGGAUGACGGUACCCAAAGAAUAAGCACCGGCUAACUUCGUGCCAGCCGCCGCCGUAA
rnacentral:rRNA from 1 species